rnacentral:rRNA from 1 species
CCCUUAGAUGUUCUGGGCCGCACGCGCGCUACACUGAUGCAUUCAACGAGUUUCUUCCUGGUCCGUGAGGAAUGGGUAACCUUUUGAAAGUGCAUCGUGAUAGGGAUAGACUAUUGCAAUUAUUGGUCUUCAACGAGGAAUUCCUAGUAGACGUAGUUCAUCAGACUGCAUCGAUUACGUCCCUGCCCUUUGUACACACCGCCCGUCGCUCCUACCGAUUGAAUGCUCAGGUGAGCCAUUCGGACCUUCAUCAUGCCGGUUUCCGGUUUUGAUGAGGGAAAGUCUUGCGAACCUUAUCAUUUAGAGGAAGGAGAAGUCGUAACA